rnacentral:lncRNA from 1 species
AGAAGGAAGCAUUAACGAAGUCCAAGAAGAAGGAUCAACAAGCCCUCACCCUCAUUCAUCAAUGCUUAGAUGAAUCGAUGUUCGAGAAAGUGGCUAAUGCCAACACCGCAAAGGAAGCUUGGGAGAUUUUGCAGACCUCUCUCCAAGGAGCCGACAAAGUAAAAAAGGUUCGGCUUCAAUCACUUCGUGGAAAUUAUGAAGCUUUGCGUAUGGCGG